AUUUGGUGUUGGAUCAAACCAAUCACAUUUGAAAAGCACAGUCCACUUAAUUGGUAACCCUGGAUACUCCAACCGCAACACCUCAACCAACUGUCCAUAGUAGUCACUUUCUUCAGAACUGUAAUUACUCCCUUUUAUACAUACACCAAAAUUCAUUGACUUACUACUUGAAUUUCCAUUGAUUGUGUUGAAUUUACAUCCAUUAACACAAUACCCAUCAAAAGUUGUGACACUUCUGAGUGGUCCCUUUGACAGAUCUUGUAUAA
rnacentral:lncRNA from 1 species